rnacentral:rRNA from 1 species
AACCUUUACUCUACCUUGACUUUUUGCGUAUUCUGUUUCCUUGGUAGGCUUGCCUGCCAAUUGGACAAAAUGAUAACCCUUUUAAUAUUUAAUCAGCGUCUGAAUAAUUUUAAUAAUUACAACUUUCAACAACGGAUCUCUUGGUUCUGGCAUCGAUGAAGAACGCAGCGAAAUGCGAUAAGUAGUGUGAAUUGCAGAAUUCAGUGAAUCAUCGAAUCUUUGAACGCACAUUGCGCCCCUUGGUAUUCCAUGGGGCAUGCCUGUUCGAGCGUCAUUUGUAAUCUCAAGCUAUGCUUGGUGUUGGGUACUUGUCUUAGCUAAGCCUAAAGACUUGCCUUAAAUAUAUUGGCAGCCAGUAUUUUGGUUUGAAUGUGCAGCACAGCGCCUCAAGCUAUUAAACACGGGCAACCAUAAGAAAUUAUAACUCUUUUGACCUCGGAUCAGGUAGGGAUACCCGCUGAACUUAAGCAUAUCAAUAA